GGCCUCCUUAAAAUCACAAACGACUCUCGGCAACGGAUAUCUCGGCUCACGCAUCGAUGAAGAACGUAGCAAAAUGCGAUACUUGGUGUGAAUUGCAGAAUCCCGUGAACCAUCGAGUUUUUGAACGCAAGUUGCGCCCGAAGCCAUCCGGCCGAGGGCACG
rnacentral:rRNA from 1 species